CAGAAGCUGCCAGUAAUGGGUACCUGGACCAGUGAACUACAACUCCAUCUGGAGAAAAAUUAGAACUGUCUCUUUAAAGAUGAAUUUUCCCUUCUUCUGCUCACUCCUGGCCUAUUAUCCAAGUCAGUAGACGUGUUAUGGACUGGACACACUCAGAACCUAUGGAGUCUGUUCCUCCAGGCAACGACAUCCACUCAGAGCCACUCAGACCCCAAGCAUUCCUUGGCUAUGCCAACAGGCCAGAGAUGAUCAUCAGGAGCCUCACGACCCAACAUCAGGACACGACCUUAGGAUCACUUCCUGCUACACUUCUGGUCCUCUCAGCGCUCUCAGCUGCCCAGAAGGAACAAACAGGUGGAAAGGUUUAACUGAAGAGAAGACCCAUCUUGAAUGCGGGUAGAAUCACUCAUGGACCGGGGUCUAAGAUGAUAACAAGGAUAGAGUUAUCUGAGAACCAGCAUCCAUUUUGCUUUGCUGCCUCAUGUGUCUGAAGCCAUGCCUUCUUUACCACGAUGUAUUCCUCAAACCUACUAUGCCUUUCCAGCACAGCUGUGGUUCCAGAAAGUUCUCUGGGUGCUGGUCCAGUAUUCACAGAUGGUAUGCUGCAGACAGUCAGUGGCCAGGCACCGACGAGUCAAGAAUGCCAAAGGAACAUCAUACCAGCAGCUUGGUGUCUCUCACCCCGCUGGCCCAGCUACCAGGAAGACCAGCAGAAUGACUCAAAAGCACCUGCCUAUCCUGAACAUGCCUGAACACAGGUGCCAUGGUCACCCCAGACUGAUGGGGCUUGCCAAGCUGAGGUUCACAUAUGGGGAGGCUUACAGUUUGGGAAGGAUCUUUGGGCCUAAUCACCCUGGUGGGUCACCCCAUCUCUCUGAAACAUUCAGCUCUUUCACUUGUGAACAUGGAGGACCAGGUGGCUGGAAGAUCAUUUGAGAUAGACCAAGGGCAAGUUUACAUGUGCACAGAGUGGUCCCAAAGAGAUUGUCAUGACCAUCCACAUGUCAGUAGAUGAGAAUCUGAGAGACAUGGGCCAAUGGCUUCAUCUUCUUGGUCUUGGGUAGUCCCAAGAGGCACCUCUUCUUAGUCACCAGAUUGACAAAGCUCCUCGUCCUAAAAAUGAACUGAAACUAGGAGCUGGGGUCUGGGACCAGCUUAGGUCUCUAGGAAAGGAAUAGACCUAAACCUUUCUAUGGAGACAACAGCAACUCCUGCCAAGGAAGAAGUAUUUUUAUCGGUAUCUGGAAGUCUUUAUUCUCCUAGAUCACUUCUCACCUGCAAAGUGUAGGUAAGGAAGAAAAGCAACCACCACUUGGAGCAAGGUGAUGUGCUGAGCUGGACCUGGUGGUACAUGUGUAUAAUCCCAGUACUCAAGACAGUUGGAGGCAGUCUGGGCUUCGUGAGUUCAAAGCCAGCCUGGGCUACACAAAUAGUUGUUACAGGAUAUUUGAACUUGUUUCUAGUUAUGCUGUACAUGGCUCAGUCCUUAGCACACACCUUUAACCCCUCUGGCUGGAAUACAGACACAUCUUUAUACUCACU